rnacentral:rRNA from 1 species
CGCCUGUUUAACAAAAACAUGUCUUUUUGAUUAUAAUUUAAAGUCUAACCUGCCCAAUGAGGAGUUAAAUGGCCGCGGUAAUCUGACCGUGCAAAGGUAGCAUAAUCAUUAGUUUUUUAAUUGAAAGCUGGUAUGAACGGUUGGACGAGAGAGUAACUGUCUCAACUUAAUUGAAUUAGAAUUUUAUCUUUAAGUAAGAAAGCUUAAAUGAUUUUAAAAGACGAGAAGACCCUAUAGAGUUUUAUAUUUAUUAUAAUAAGUGUUUUAUAGUAUGUAUUAGAUAAGUAUUAUAAUACGUAUUUUGUUGGGGCGACAGAAAAAUUGAAGGAACUUUUUUUAUGUGUAUACCAUUAAUUUAUGAAUCGGUGAUCCGUUAUAUGUACGAUUAUAAGAUUAAAUUACCUUAGGGAUAACAGCGUAAUUUUUUUUGAGAGUUCUAAUCGAAAGAAGAGUUUGCGACCUCGAUGUUGGAUUAAAAUUAACUUUUGGUGCAGAAGCUAAAAGGUUAGGUCUGUUCGACCUUUAAAAUUUUACAUGAUCUGAGUUCAAACCGGAG